rnacentral:misc_RNA from 1 species
GAUGAAGAACGUAGCGAAAUGCGAUAAGUAGUGUGAAUUGCAGAAUUCAGUGAAUCAUCGAAUCUUUGAACGCACAUUGCGCCCCUUGGUAUUCCAUGGGGCAUGCCUGUUCGAGCGUCAUUUGUACCCUCAAGCUUUGCUUGGUGUCGGGUGUUUGUCCCGCGCUCUUUUGCGCAAGACUCGCCUUAAAUCAAUUGGCAGCCGGCAUGUUAGCCUGGAGCGCAGCACAUUUUGCGCCCCUUGCUUGCUUGUGUUGGCCCCCAUCAAGUCCAUAUAUUUGCUCUUGACCUCGGAUCAGGUAGGGAUACCCGCUGAACUUAAGCAUAUCAAUAAGCGGAGGA